rnacentral:rRNA from 1 species
UACGUAGGGUGCGAGCGUUAAUCGGAAUUACUGGGCGUAAAGCGUGCGCAGGCGGUUGGUUAAGUCUGAUGUGAAAGCCCCCGGCUCAACUGGGGAACUGCACGGGAAACUGACGGACUUGAGUUCGGGAGAGGGAAGCGGAAUUCCGGGUGUAGCGGUGAAAUGCGUAGAUAUCCGGAGGAACACCAGAGGCGAAGGCGGCCCACUGGGCUGCACCUGACGCUGAACCGCGAAAGCCAGGGGAGCGAACGGG